rnacentral:rRNA from 1 species
UACGUAGGGGGCGAGCGUUGUCCGGAGUUACUGGGCGUAAGCGCACGCAGGCGGUCUGCUAAGUUUGGAGUGACAGUUGGUGGCUUAACUGCCAAAGUGCUUCGAAACUGACAGACUUGAGGGCUUCAGAGGACACGGAAUCCGGGUGGAGUGGUGAAAUGCGUAGAGAUCGGAGGAACACCAAAGGCGAAGGCAGUGUCCUGGGGAGUACCUGACGCUCGAGGUGCGAAGCCAGGGGAGCGAACGGG